GCAAGUCGAGGGGCAACAGGGAGAAGCUUGCUUUUCCGCUGACGACCGGCGCACGGGUGCGUCACGCGUAUCGAACCUACCUUAUACAGGAGAAUAGCCUUUAGAAAUGAAGAUUAAUGCUCCAUAGUAUCAUUGAAUGGCAUCAUUUAAUGAUUAAACAUUUAUGGGUAAAAGAUGGCUAUGCGUUCUAUUAGCUAGUAGGUAAGGUAACGGCUUACCUAGGCAACGAUAGAUAGGGGCCCUGAGAGGAGGAUC
rnacentral:rRNA from 1 species